CCCAGAAGAACUCGGAAGUGGACAUCUCAGGCAUUCAGCGUUUGGGUGAAGACGAAGGCGGGUUCUGGACAUACGUACGCUGUCAGGGGGUGUUUACUUCGCCUCCACUUCUGUUCCUCCCCGCCGUGGUGCUGCUCCGGGUCACAUACUCGUCCUGAGCCGGCUUCAGCCUCUCCGCGCAGAAGUCUCCCGGAGCCAUGGCCUAGUACUCUUAUGUGAAGUCUACCAAGCUUGUGCUCAAGGCAACCGAGGUGAAGAGCUGGGUCCUGCAGCUCCAGCGGGAGCCUCCUCAGUUCUUUUCGGAUGCACUCCACCCCCGCGAAUCCAGUGGAAGCCUGGCUCGGAGAGCCGGCUUUGUGACCUCCCAGGCUUCGCCCUGGCCGGGCUGGAAGGAAGCCGGACAGCGGUUCCUGGCGCCUGUGCAGAGAGGGGUAGUCUCCCGCACGGACGACCCUGGAAACAGGAUAGAGGGGCGGGUGACCCGUGGCCCCGUACCCACGAGUUUGGUUCCCCUGAGGCAUCUCUCCAGGCCUCUGCCUUAUUUGCCUGAGGUUGACUGUACAUACAAAUAUUGAGCAUUUCCUCCUGGUCUCCGUGAUAAACAGAGGUUUUGAUAUUGUUAGGCGAGAUGGAAAGAAAGUAUCAAGGAGUGAGCUGAAGCCACUGCCCUUGAGAACCCUCUCGAGGAGUCUGGCCUCAUGAAGAUGCCAAAAUAAAUGGCAGGUAUAUCCUGGAUGAAUGAGAGAUUUUUACUCUGUGAAUUUCCUGUGAGGAGUGUAAGAAGAAAAAGAGCAAAGAUAAGAGAAAAAGAGAAGAAGAUGAAGAAACCCAGCUUGAUAUGUUGGAAUCUGGUGGAAAGUAACAAACUUUGGUGAAAUUUCAGGAACCAUAGCCAUUGAAAUGGAUGAGGGAACCUAUAUACAUGCACUCGACAAUGGUCUUUUUACCCUGGGAGCUCCACACAGUGAAGAAUCGCCCUGAAAUCUGGCUAUGGAAAAUAUCUUGGUAUAAAUUCAGAUGAACUUGUUUAUGGGCGUUCAGAUGCAAUUGGACCAAGAGAACAAUGGGAACCAGUCUUUCAAAAUGGGAAAAUGGCUUUGUUGGCCUCAAAUAGCUGCUUUAUUAGAUGCAGUGAAGCAGGGGACAGAGAAGCAAAAAGUAAAACAGCAGGAGAAGAAGAAAUGAUCAAGUUUAGGCUAUGAGCAGAGAUGGACGAGGUGGCUGCUAUAUUGGAUCAAGGAUAUGAGCAGAGAUGGAAGAGGCAGCAGCUGUAAUGGAUCAAGGCUAUGAGCAUCUUGUGAAGUAAGAUGUUAAAUCUGCAAAUAUCAGAGUGAAUCCAAACUUAUCAAUUCAACACUGGAUUGUAAAACAGCUCAAACAAAGCUAAAAAACAGCUCUACACUUUAGGAGGUUGAGACAGGCACAUUGCUCGAGCUCAGGAGUGGGAGACAAGUCUAGGAAACAUGGAAAAACCCUGUGUCUACAAAAAAAAAAUUUUUAUUAAUUAGCUGGGUAUGGUGGUAUAAGCCUGUGGUUCUAGCUUCUCGGGAGGCUGAGGUGAGAGGAUUGCUUGAGCCCGGAAGCUAGAGGCUGCAGUGAGCUCUGAUCAUGCCACUGCAUUCCAGCCUAGGUGACAGAGUGAGACCCUGUCUCAAAAACAAACAAACAAACAAACAAACAAAAAAGCUCUAAACGAAUGUGGCUGGAAAAGUAGCUCAAGUUGUUCCUGUCUGGUGAAAUACAAACAUAAAUGAAUUAUUUAUGUGCCCCAGUGGCUUCCUGAUGCUGAGAGCAAAGCCAGUUGUUCUGGCAGGUUCGGGAAAAAUUUAUCACAUCAUGGGGUUCAAUGCCAAUGCCAAAUCAUAAAUAUAAUAAUCAAGUCUGAAAGUGAACCCAGUUUCAGAGACAUCCAGAAGCCACUGUGUAUGAAGCUCCUUUCAGAUAGAGACAAGAGAUUAUUUGACUUCUUAUCUCUGUUGUCUAACACAAUGUCCAGAACACAACAGAUAUUCCAUAUGCACAGUCACAUCCUAUGUAUGUGUAUUUCUUUUCCAGCAAGGACUAGAGGUCCUAAGCUUUGUUUGUAUGGUGACCCAGUGCCCAAAUGAGCAGGAGAAUGUUAGCACAAUCACCUACACACUCAUUUCGAUGCUCUGACCCCUUAUCUUAGCUAGUCAAAGCGUGGUCUAUGAGUUUGCAUUUUAAUAAGAUCCGCGGGUGAAUCUUGUGCAUGUCAAAGGAAGAGAAGCACUGCCCUCAAAAUAUAGAGCAGGUGAACUAAAUUAUUAACUUAUAGAGGUAGGCUGGCUAUUUAUUUAUGUAUCUUGUUGAUGGGAAGAUUCAAAUUGAUAUACACAAUCACCCCCAUAAGGAUUUCAGGUAAAAAGCAAACAAACAAAGGUUUAGAUAUUAGAUAUAUUUUACAAUUACCACACCAGUCUUUUUACUACAGCAUCUAGUAGCACAUUUCUCAUAGAUUUAGAUGGAAAUUUUCAUCCCAUAAGCCUUCUGUUAGUAUUUUUAAAAUUGAAUACUCAAUAAAUAGUGGCCAAGUUGAAUCCCUUAGAGGAAUCUCACUCAAACUACAGUCAUAUUUUCCAAUAGGCCCCACAAACAUCAUUGCUCUAGAGCAAUCUAAUAUAUUUAUCCACCUCUUUAGACACUUAGGUAAGUGUAUUAAUACAAGUUGUGUGUGUGUGUAUUGUGAACCUUGUGGCCUCUUGCCCAGUUUCUGCAACACCUGAAGCUGAUGCAUGUUUAAUGUAAAUAAUGUCCAGCAAUGUUACAAAUGUUGGCUUUUAUGUGCCCAUCAGGAAAAAAAAGAUGAGUGUUACUGUAGAGGAAAUUUUGAUUCUGGAAAAAAAUGCAUACUAUUUGAAUUAUUAUUUUCAUGCUUUCCACAGAUAUUACACACAGAUAUUAUAUUCCAAGGAUUAUGUUUCAAAGUCAUCAAAAAUAGAAAAUACAUCUAUAUUUCUAACUGAAAUUAAUAAUAGUAAGUAGCCCACCUUUGGGGAAAUGUGAUAAAAAUAUUAAUGACCAUGACAACUCAUUAAAAACAUAAAUCGUGCAAUGAUUUAAACUACAUGUUCUUCAUAUGAAUCUGUGUGGAAAUAUAGACACAUUGGAUAAAUGCUAUUUAAAGUCUGAGUGCUUUGGUAAAUGAUUCAGCCAUCUGUAGUUUGAAGGGAUUACUUUUAUCUGCCUUCAUAGUGAGAAUUAGAUUUCUAUUCUUUAUAAAGCAGGGAAUACAGAUUGUGCAUGGAGUAAAAGCAUACAAUCCUUAUUAAUAAUGAUGGCAGCUGAGCUGCAGAGGAGAAAGCCUGUCAGAGUAACGUAUUCAGUUUUACAUAGAAUCAGAGGGGUGUCCACCUCUGUUGAAGGCAGAAUUAAAAACCCCUUCAACAUUUUUAAAAUAGGCCAGGCGCGGUGGCUCACGCCUGUAAUCCCAGCACUUUGGGAGGCCGAGGCGGGCGGAUCACGAGGUCAGGAGAUCGAGACCAUCCUGGCUAACACAGUGAAACCCCGUCUCCACUAAAAAAUACAAAAAAUUAGCCGGGCGUGGUGGCGGGCGCCUGUAGUCCCAGCUACGCGGGAGGCUGAGGCAGGAGAAUGGUGUGAACCCGGGAGGCGGAGCUUGCAGUGAGCCGAGAUCGCGCCACUGCACUCCAGCCUGGGCGACAGAGCGAGACUCCAUCUCAAAAAAAAAAAAAAAAAAAAAAAACAUUUUUAAAAUAAUAGAUGAAAAACAUCUCAAAGUCUCCUUUAAAAUUUGAAAUGACCAUUCCACAUAAAAGGAAGGGACCAAGAAUAUCUUAAAGAAAUACUUCACGAUGGAAUUGAUGUUUUAAGUGAAAUUUCAUCAAGGAGAAGUUUUUCCAAAAAGUAUUUUUACCUCAGGAAGAAUCUCAUUAGUUUAUUCUGUAAAUAGUUCCUAGUAAAAUGAUAAAGACUUGAUUUUUCAAAAACAAUAAAAAACUUACACGGUUUAAUCUAAUGUAGUGAUUUCGAAAGUGCUUCUUGUGUAAUCAUAGUUACGCAUGUGUAUUUAUAUGCAUUUUCUUAGCUCAUUCAAACGCCAAUAAAAUACUUUACUAUCCACGCUCC